rnacentral:rRNA from 1 species
GAUGAACGCUGGCGGCGUGCCUAAUACACGCAAGUCGAGCGAACAGACGAGGAGCUUGCUCCUCUGACGUUAGCGGCGGACGGGUGAGUAACACGUGGAUAACCUACCUAUAAGACUGGGAUAACUUCGGGAAACCGGAGCUAAUACCGGAUAAUAUAUUGAACCGCAUGGUUCAAUAGUGAAAGACGGUUUUGCUGUCACUUAUAGAUGGAUCCGCGCCGCAUUAGCUAGUUGGUAAGGUAACGGCUUACCAAGGCAACGAUGCGUAGCCGACCUGAGAGGGUGAUCGGCCACACUGGAACUGAGACACGGUCCAGACUCCUACGGGAGGCAACAGUAGGGAAUCUUCCGCAAUGGGCGAAAGCCUGACGGAGCAACGCCGCGUGAGUGAUGAAGGUCUUCGGAUCGUAAAACUCUGUUAUUAGGGAAGAACAAAUGUGUAAGUAACUAUGCACGUCUUGACGGUACCUAAUCAGAAAGCCACGGCUAACUACGUG